rnacentral:rRNA from 1 species
AGGACGAACGCUGGCGGCGUGCUUAACACAUGCAAGUCGAACGGAAAGGCCCUUUCGGGGGGUACUCGAGUGGCGAACGGGUGAGUAACACGUGGGUGAUCUGCCCUGCACUUUGGGAUAAGCCUGGGAAACUGGGUCUAAUACCGAAUACACCCUGCUGGUCGCAUGGCCUGGUGGGGGGAAAGCUUUUGCGGUGUGGGAUGGGCCCGCGGCCUAUCAGCUUGUUGGUGGGGUGAUGGCCUACAAGGCGACGACGGGUA